UCAUACUUUAGCAGCACGUAAAUAUUGGUGUUAAGACUGUAAAUAUCUCCAGUAUUAACUGUGCUGCUGAAGUAAGGCUAGUCACUUCUGCACGCGAGUCAUGGAACAGGACAUUGCAUGUGUUUCCUAUGCCUUUUUGUUGCUAUAAUUUAUAUUUUCUUUGUAUAUGAACACUUUCUUAGCUUUUUUUUUGUAUUUUCAUUUAUUCAGAAACUGUAUUUAGAGCUUCAUAGUAUCUGAUGGUAAAUAUAGAAUAGAUAUAAAUAUAAUUUUGCUUUGGUUUAUGUGAAAACUGAACUUUUUAAAGGAGCCAUCUCAAGCUACACCUGUCUAACAAUGCUUUGGUAAGUGUGUUUGUUUAUAUAUUUAAAAACUAUAAAAAUUAUUACUUUAAUUGUCAGCACGUUUCUUUAUUAAAACUCUUAAAAUUGUGUUCAUUUUUACAACCUUUUCUAAAUUAGUGGAACUGAGAAGUUUUUAGUCAUGAUUUUAGCAAAGAGAACUCAUAAAAAAGAAGUGCCUUCCAAUUUUUUAAACAAAACUUAUUAACCACUUCAUUUCUUAAACGACUGGGCUAGAUACAGGUAACAGUUCUAUGGUUAGAAGUUUAAACUGUAUGUCUGACUGUGAAUUUACUAAUUUUUUUCUCAUCUUCCACUAAGAUUUUUCUCUUGCAGGAGAAUCUUUCAUUGAGAUGAUUGAAAUUGCUGCAGUGAGAAUGGAAAUUACUUGGGCUCCUUUCCUUUUAAAAGCUGCAUGCAAGAACUGUGUGCUGAGAAGAGCCUGGCUAUGUCUUCUUUACUCUCCCGUACCCCCACCAGCAGGCAUUUAGAACCAUUGCUGAGAUCACACAAACACAAGCCUUUUCUUCUCCAGGCUGGAGUCUCAGAUCACUCAGCCUUUCUUCAUGUGAAAGAUUCUUCAGUUCUGUCAUCGUUUCUGUGGAAGUAAAUAAAAUGCUUCCUCUAAUAAGGGAAAUUAGAAUUCAAAGGAGGAAACAUUUUUUUGAGGGCGGGGGGAAAGCACAAGCUAAUAACUGUAAAAAGAACAAGAAGGUCACAAAAUGAAACAUUAAGAAGUUAGGUAACUCCAGCUCUAAGAUUCUGCAAUCUUCAUUUGCCCCCUUGUGUCAGUAUACUAUGAAGCAAUCUUCAUGAUCACACAGAAUGUUUAAUCUAUUGAUAGGUUCAGCCUGUUGGGGUGCUGGGCCAGGGAAGAUGUUUGUGGACUGUGCAAGAAGAAACCUGAUGUUGCUAUAAGUGCUGCUAAUAAGAAAUUUGUAAAAAAUUCUGUAGGCAGUGGAACAAAUGGCUGCAAGUACAGAAAACCAUGUAUGUCUUCAUGGUUAUGCCAAGUAAGAAUUCCUAAGAAUUGGAUGUGAUGUUUAUUUUUCUGCCUUUAUUCUCAUGUGAUGCUGGACAGGUAACCAGGCCCUUAGUUCUGUAGUGUGUAUAUUGUGCUUUACUUUAGAGUUGUCUGAUUUAAGACUCAUGUCUGAAAGAAACAUUGUGCUUCACAUUGGUAGCUGAGCUUCUUAGAAGUUGUCAUUUGAAUUAAAAUACUCUGUAAAGUUA